AUUGAACGCUGGCGGCAGGCCUAACACAUGCAAGUCGAACGAGUGGCGGACGGGUGAGUAAUGUCUGGGAAACUGCCUGAUGGAGGGGGAUAACUACUGGAAACGGUAGCUAAUACCGCAUACCAUCAGAUUUGCCCAGCUGGGAUUAGCUAGUUGGUGGGGUAACGGCUCACCAAGGCGACGAUCCCUAGCUGGUCUGAGAGGAGGACCAGCACAACUGGACCUGAGACACGGUCCAGCCUCCAACGGGAGGAAGCAGUGGGAAAUAUUGCACAAGGGGCGAAAGCCUGAUGCAGCACUGCCGCGUGUAUGAAGAAGGCCUUCGGGUUGUAAAGUACUUUCAGCGGGGAGGCGUUACCCGCAGAAGAAGCACCGGCUAACUCCGUGCCAGCAGCCGCGGUAAUUC
rnacentral:rRNA from 1 species